GAUGAAGAACGUAGCGAAAUGCGAUAAGUAAUGUGAAUUGCAGAAUUCAGUGAAUCAUCGAAUCUUUGAACGCACAUUGCGCCCGCCAGUAUUCUGGCGGGCAUGCCUGUCCGAGCGUCAUUUCAACCCUCGAACCCCUCCGGGGGGUCGGCGUUGGGGACCUCGGGAGCCCCUAAGACGGGAUCCCGGCCCCGAAAUACAGUGGCGGUCUCGCCGCAGCCUCUCCUGCGCAGUAGCUUGCACGCUCGCAACGGGAGCGCGGCGCGUCCACGGCCGUGAAACAACCCAAACUUCUGAAAGGUUGACCUCGGAUCAGGUAGGAAUACCCGCUGAACUUAAGCAUAUCAAUAAGCGGAGGA
rnacentral:misc_RNA from 1 species